rnacentral:piRNA from 1 species
UAGGGAAGUUGAUCCACACCU